UUUCUGGAAUAUUAUUAAUACUAUUUUACAUGCUAAAUAAUUCUUUGUUACAUAAACCUUUAUUUUUGCAUUUCUGUAGCCUAUUGCUUUUCCCCAAUACUCAGUUUUUAUUGAUAUUAUCUUUUGUCAUUUACGGGCUUAUAGAUGGACAGACAAACAUUAUCAUUAACUCAAUGUAGAGAGCAUCUGAUUAUUUCGACAUUACAGAAAAUACCAUGGCAUGAAUGGUGACAUAUUCAGACCUGUGAUAAUGACCUAUUAUAUCCACACGGGUAAUUUGUGAGCAAUAAAUCCAUGGAGAUGGAGCUUUUUUAUCACUUCACCCUCAUAAAAUGGUGCGUCAGUGUAAUUUCAGUAUACAGAUCUGGUGGGUUGUUCUAGGGAUCCUGUUUGUAAUAUAUAGGAAAUCCGACAUGAAAGAUGGUAUAAAAGUGGAGAGUGAAAGUGCCAAGAUAUCACAUUCUGAACAGAAGAUUGAUAAUUCCAGUCGCUCUCUGAGUUGAUGUUUGGUGAUUAAUAUCUGAGCCAUGUAUAGAAACACUCUUAUCUUUCUGAUCCUGCUGCAUUUAGUGGUCUUCAGUACAAACAAUACUACUGAUACGCAGUUGACUGAAGAUACAUCAGUGACGACUGUGAGCACUGAGUCUGACUCUACACACGCAAGCCAGUCUUCUUCAUCCACAUCCAUGGAUCCGGUCACUACACCGGUUCAGCCCAACAGCUCUGUCAGUGAACCUUCUGAAGACCCGCAAGGUUUAACAUCAGGGGAGAUUGCAGGUAUAGCUGUAGGAUCCAUCGCUGGGGUGGCAGCUCUGGGUGGAGGAAUAUAUGCUGGACUGAAGUACACUGGCAAACUGGGUGGCUAAUUUGACUCUAUCUGAACCAACUGUAUUUCAUCAAACCAUAAUCAUCUGAUUAACAUUAAUUUUUUUUUAUGUAGCUCUGUCAACUGACAAAAUGGUACAAAAAAUCAUUAUAAUAGCUCUGACAUGAACAUGUUGAUGGACAAUGGGAGUGGUAACUCUUUUCUGAGCCAUUUUUGACAUGAGUGAAGACAUUUCUCCACUAGUUCACAGGUUUAGUUCAUCAUAUUAAUUAUGAACAAGAUCCACUAAUGUUUGACUUCCGCAAAGGGUCACAAUACUUCUUUUGAACAGUUUUGUAUUUUGUUUUAUAUUUGUGCUAUUUCAAAACAACAACAGCACAUUGUCUUCAUGUUGAAAUACUGUAUUUCUCAUUAAUAAUAAUCUACAUAUAGUCUCUGUUUUUGCAAAGUUAUUAUUUUAUGACAUGGCUAUGAGCAGCGAUGAGUUGGCACAGACAUACUGUGGUGUCGUUUAUGAUAUGCCUGUAUUUUCUUUAUGUAAACAUAAGCAAUAAUGUAUUCUGGGAAACCACAAAGCAUUGGUUGUUAUGUAUUUGUGUAUGUAACCACAGAAUUUAUGAGUUAAUCUUUGAACGAACUGAUAGAAACAGCACAUAGAAGGAAGGAUACAGUCACACAGCAGGUGAAAGAGCGCUCUAUCUCUCUCGCUAUCAAAACAGAACAGCACAUCAAAUAUUUAUCCCUCCCUCCAGCAACUGCUUUAUAAACACUAUCCAGUUUAAUCCCACAUGCUGUGCAUCUCUGAAUGAACAGGAAGAUACAGACAGAGAUAGUCAUCAGUUGGCUCUGAACUGCAACACUAAGAAAGUGUAUCGGUGUGGGGAAAAGUGAAAAAAUAAAUUGAGAAGGUGUUACA
ensembl:lncRNA